CGUAGGGUGCGAGCGUUAAUCGGAAGUUACUGGGCGUAAAGCGUGCGCAGGCGGUAAUGUAAGACAGAUGUGAAAUCCCCGGGCUUAACCUGGGACCUGCAUUUGUGACUGCAUUGCUGGAGUGCGGCAGAGGGGGAUGGAAUUCCGCGUGUAGCAGUGAAAUGCGUAGAUAUGCGGAGGAACACCGAUGGCGAAGGCAAUCCCCUGGGCCUGCACUGACGCUCAUGCACGAAAGCGUGGGGAGCAAACAGGAUUAGAUACCCUGGUAGUCCACGCCCUAAACGAUGUCAACUGGUUGUUGGGUCUUCACUGACUCAGUAACGAAGCUAACGCGUGAAGUUGACCGCCUGGGGGAGUACGGCCGCAAGGUUG
rnacentral:rRNA from 1 species